UUCAUAAAAAAUCCUUAAAUGAGGAAUGAUCAGCUUAUUAGCUAAUCCGCUGUUUAGGCUUAAUAAGCCGUUGAUAAGAACCAUGAUUUAUAAACGUUUAUUAGGGGCUUCUUAACUAAUAAGCAGAUUAGACGCGUUAUGUUGGCAUCUUGGCGCAUCAUAGACUAAAAUAUGGCUGAACAUUAAAUUAAAAAAAAGUUUGACAGCAGCACUAGCGGCCAAUCGUAAUAUCAUGAAGAAGUUGAUUUACUAUUUUGACUAAUUUUCGGAAUUAUCUCUUAUUAAAAUAGCUUCUGUGCCACAAAAAUAAUUAAAGAUUGCUGCAUGGCCGGAAAUUUUAUAAAACUUGUUUCAAUAUUAUGUGGAAUGGAGUCGAAAGAAGUGGGGUUCUUUCAAACUAACCGAGAAGUGCAUAAUUAGCGAAGAGAAGAAGUCGAAGCCAGAUACCGUACCAGACCCCACUCGCCUCCGCAAGAAGAACCAUUGAAUAAUGGUUCAUGAGUUCACACUAAUUUAUUCUGGUUGCGGCAGAAAUUCACAACGGGUCAACAAAACGAAGUCCAUUCAGACUCACUAAAUCAGAUCCUGAAAGUACCAUCAUUAGCCACUGUUAUUGUUGAAUAACUCCAGGCUUUGGAAGAAAAGCUGUGGCCUGUGAACAGCUGUGAAUAUUGGUCAGAGAAGUGUAACUGAC